rnacentral:rRNA from 1 species
AACCAGCUCUUCAAGUGGUCGGGAUAAUUAUUGGGCUUAAAGUGUCCGUAGCCGGUUUAGUAAGUUCUUGGUAAAAUCGGAUAGCUUAACUAUCUGCAUGCUAGGAAUACUGCUAUACUAGAGGGAGGGAGAGGUCUGAGGUACUAUAGGGGUAGGGGUGAAAUCUUAUAAUCCUUGUAGGACCACCAGUGGCGAAGGCGUCAGACUGGAACGCGCCUGACGGUGAGGGACGAAAGCCAGGGGAGCGAACCGGAUUAGAUACCCGGGUAGUCCUGGCCGUAAACGAUGCAUACUAGGUGAUGGUACGGCCGUGAGCCGUAUCAGUGCCGUAGGGAAACCGUUAAGUGUGCCGCCUGGGAAGUACGGUCGCAAGGCUAAAACUUAAAGGAAUUGGCGGGGGAGCACCACAAGGGGUGAAGCCUGCGGUUC